rnacentral:rRNA from 1 species
AUGAGCGGGCACGACUCCAAGUACUUCUCCACCACCAAAAAGGGGGAGAUCCCCGAGCUCAAGGAGGAGCUCAACUCCCAGUACAAGGACAAGAGAAAAGAUGCUGUCAAGAAAGUGAUUGCAGCGAUGACCGUUGGAAAAGAUGUCUCAUCACUGUUUACGGAUGUCGUGAACUGUAUGCAGACUGAGAACUUGGAGCUGAAAAAACUAGUAUAUUUGUAUCUCAUCAACUAUGCUAAAAGUCAACCAGAUCUAGCGAUACUUGCCGUGAACACAUUUGUUAAGGAUUCACAAGAUCCAAAUCCGCUGAUCCGUGCUUUGGCUGUGAGGACAAUGGGUUGCAUCCGUGUAGACAAAAUCACAGAGUAUCUGUGUGACCCUCUUCAAAGAUGCCUCAAGGACGAUGAUCCAUAUGUGCGGAAGACAGCGGCUAUUUGUGUUGCUAAGCUUUAUGAUAUAAAUGCUGAGCUAGUGGAGGACAGAGGAUUUCUAGAGGCCCUCAAAGACUUAAUUUCUGACAACAAUCCUAUGGUGGUUGCAAAUGCUGUUGCUGCUCUGGCAGAGAUUCAAGACAGUAGUGCUCGUCCGAUCUUUGAGAUCACCAGCCAUACAUUGACAAAGCUUCUGACUGCUCUGAAUGAAUGCACAGAGUGGGGACAAGUUUUCAUUCUUGAUUCUCUGUCAAGGUACAAAGCAACAGAUGCAAGGGACGCAGAAAAUAUAGUGGAACGAGUUACACCCCGUCUUCAACAUGCAAACUGUGCAGUUGUUCUUUCUGCUGUCAAGAUAAUCCUUCUACAAAUGGUGCUCAUUACAAGCACUGAUGUUGUCCGGAAUCUCUGCAAGAAAAUGGCACCCCCUCUGGUUACUCUACUGUCGGCAGAGCCCGAGAUUCAGUAUGUAGCAUUGAGAAAUAUCAAUCUGAUUGUUCAAAAAAGGCCUACAAUACUUGCACAUGAAAUUAAGGUCUUCUUUUGCAAGUACAAUGACCCAAUAUAUGUCAAGAUGGAAAAGUUAGAGAUUAUGAUAAAGCUUGCGUCAGAUAGGAACAUUGAUCAGGUACUAUUGGAGUUCAAAGAAUACGCCACAGAGGUGGAUGUUGACUUUGUGAGGAAAGCUGUACGUGCGAUUGGAAGAUGUGCAAUUAAAUUGGAGAGAGCUGCUGAAAGGUGCAUCAGUGUCUUGCUUGAGCUGAUCAAGAUAAAGGUUAAUUAUGUCGUACAAGAAGCUAUCAUUGUCAUCAAAGACAUCUUUAGACGCUAUCCUAACACAUAUGAGUCUAUCAUCGCAACACUGUGUGAAAGUUUGGACACUUUAGAUGAACCAGAGGCUAAGGCAUCAAUGAUUUGGAUAAUUGGAGAAUAUGCCGAAAGAAUUGACAAUGCUGAUGAACUCCUUGAGAGUUUCUUGGAUACAUUCCCAGAAGAACCAGCAUUAGUUCAACUGCAGUUGCUAACAGCGACUGUUAAGUUGUUUCUUAAGAAGCCAACUGAGGGGCCCCAGCAGAUGAUACAGGCUGUUCUCAAUAAUGCAACAGUCGAAACAGACAAUCCUGAUCUGCGUGAUCGAGCUUACAUAUACUGGCGACUUCUUUCUACUGAUCCUGAGGCAGCAAAAGAUGUUGUUCUGGCAGAGAAGCCUGUGAUCAGUGAUGACUCUAACCAGCUUGACUCUUCGCUUCUUGAUGAAUUAUUAGCAAACAUUUCUACAUUAUCAUCAGUUUAUCACAAGCCCCCAGAAGCCUUUGUUAGCCGUGUUAAGGCAGCUCCUAGGGUGGAUGAUGAGGAGUUUGCUGAUGCUGGAGAAACUGGGUAUUCGGAGUCACCAUCUCAGGGACUGGAUGGGGCAUCACCGUCCUCUAGUACUGGCAAUUCAUCAAAUGUACCAGUGAAGCAGCCGGCAGCUGCAGCCCCAGCAGUUGCUGCUCCGAUCCCAGAUCUCCUAGGUGAUUUAAUGGGUUUGGAUAAUGCCCUGGUUCUUGUUGACGAGCCUACAGCAUCUUCAGGACCUCCACUGCCUGUUGUAUUGCCUUCAACCACUGGCCAAGGUCUCCAGAUCAGUGCGCAACUGGUGCGACGGGAUGGCCAGAUAUACUAUGAUAUAUCUUUUGAGAAUGGGACCCAGGGUGUAUUAGAUGGAUUUAUGAUUCAGUUUAACAAGAACACAUUUGGUCUUGCAGCCGGUGGACCACUUCAGGUUCCUCCACUCCAACCUGGGUCCUCAGCCAGGACGCUCCUAGCUAUGGUUUUCUCCCAGAAUGUCUCCCCUGGAGCACCAAACUUGCUACUGCAGGUUGCAGUGAAGAAUAAUCAGCAACCUGUGUGGUAUUUCAGUGACAAAGGUUCGCUCCAUGUCUUCUUUGGUGAAGAUGGCAAAAUGGAGCGAACGGGUUUUCUCGAGGCCUGGAAAUCUUUACCUGAUGACAAUGAAUUUUCAAAAGAAUACCCCAAUUCUGUCAUCAGCAGCAUAGAUGCCACCGUUGAACACCUUGCAGCAUCAAAUGUGUUCUUUAUUGCCAAACGGAAAAAUGCAAACAUGGACGUGCUGUAUCUGUCUGCGAAGAUCCCCCGUGGGAUUCCAUUCCUGAUAGAGCUUACUGCUGCUGUUGGUGUUCCUGGUGCCAAGUGUGCAGUCAAGACUCCAAACAGGGAGUUUGUGCCUCUAUUCUUUGAAGCCAUGGAGUCUCUUAUCAAAAUUUUCCUCUAG